CAAGCCUUGCCUGUUGCCGAGGACAAGGAGCCGCCGGAGCGCGCCGGUUUGCUCUGUUCGCCUAUAGACACUAACACAGACUCCCUGCGCUGCAGCGAAUUUCAGCAAUGACAGUUUCUUCCAGAAAAAAAGGCUGAAUCUGGCGAGGGCGGGGCCGUGUGUAACCUCUCACCCAGGCUUUACACCUUAUGUGAACACUUUGUAUUGGAUACAUAUUUACGGACCCAGAAGGUGAACUGGAAACGCCAGCCAAAGCCCGCCGGGAGAUACGUCAGAGCAUAGAUAUCGGCUUCCUGUGUUGUCCAGGCCAUCAGAGCUAAUUACCCAGCACAAGAUGGGCAGUUCCGUGGCUACCAGGAGACAUCUAUGCUCAAGAUGAGCUGUGACUAUUGACUCUAGCAAACGCACCCUUCACUUUUUAAUUUUGGUUGAAUAGUUCAUAUUUUUUCAUGAAUAAAACUUCAAAUUCA